GAGAUGUGAAACACAGACCGAGGUGACCCAGUGAAGUGACACAGGCUGAGGCGCAGGACCCUCGUGGAGAAGCCAAAUCCAGCCCUGUUGUCCCGUUCCCGUGGUGUUCACAUGCCCAGUGUCAUGCCCAGUGUCAUCUGGGAUGCGAACAGGGCACGGCUCAACCCCAGCCCGGCUCUAGAAGGGUUUCAGAUGUGCCAGGCUCUUCUGAAAGCAAAGUGUUUUGUGAGCAGAGCAGUGAAGUGCUGUAAGUACAGACCAAUCUCCAGCUAAUGGGAACAUUUACAAGUGUCCAGACACUCUGCAUCCACAACAAAAAUGAAGUGUCAUUUUGAACUCUCCCCAGUAUCCAUUACAGAUGCUCAUUAAGCAUAUAUAAAAACACUGAAAGGAGUUGUUAUAAAAAGAACAGUUCUCAAAUUCAAAGGUGAAAAUGAACAGUUACCACCCUUUACUCUCCUUUCUGUGACUUAGGAGAACAAUCCUAGUUACACCAGGAUGCAAAGAAAACAAGUGCAAGAGGAAGAACUAGCAUAUUAUUUUUCCUGAUUUCUUAAUUUUUUCUCAACUGUUUUCUCCCAUAAUUACCUUGUCCUUGACUUCUCUCCCAGGGUAAUAAAAUCUCACUUUAUAUGCACAAA